UGGGGGAUAUUGCACAAUGGGCGAAAGCCUGAUGCAGCGACGCCGCGUGGGGGAUGAAGGCUUUCGGGUUGUAAACCUCUUUCGCUAUCGAACAAGGCCCGCUUAGGGUGGGUUGAGGGUAGGUGGAGAAGAAGCGCCGGCUAACUACGUGCCAGCAGCCGCGGUAAUACGUAGGGCGCGAGCGUUGUCCGGAAUUAUUGGGCGUAAAGGGCUUGUAGGCGGCUUGUUGCGCCUGCUGUGAAAACGCGGGGCUUAACUUCGGGCGUGCAGUGGGUACGGGCAGGCUUGAGUGUGGUAGAGGUGACUGGAAUUCCAGGUGUAGCGGUGGAAUGCGCAGAUAUCUGGAGGAACACCGAUGGCGAAGGCAGGUCACUGGGCCAUUACUGACGCUGAGGAGCGAAAGCAUGGGUAGCGAACAGG
rnacentral:rRNA from 1 species